GCUUACGGCCAUACCACCCUCAAUGCGCCCGAUCUCGUCUGAUCUCGGAAGCUAAGCAGGGUCGGGCCUGGUUAGUACUUGGAUCAGAGACAGCCUGGGAAUACCAGGUGCUGUAAGCU
rnacentral:rRNA from 1 species